AUUGAACGCUGGCGGCAUGCCUAACACAUGCAAGUCGAACGAGUGGCGGACGGGUGAGUAAUGUAUGGGAAACUGCCUGAUGGAGGGGGCUAACUAGUGGAAACGGUAGCUAAUACCGCAUACCAUCAUAUGGGGCGAGAGGGGUUUAGCUUGUUGGUGGGGUAACGGCGCACCAAGGCGACGAUGCCUAGCUGGUCUGAGAGGAUGACCUGCCAUACUGGAACUGAGACACGGCCCAGACUCCUACGGGAGGAAGCAGUGGGGAAUAUUGGACAAUGGGCGAAAGCCUGAUGCAGCCAUGCCGCGUGGGUGAAGAAGGUCUUCGGGUUGUAAAGUACUGUCAGCAGGGAGGCGUUACCUGCAGAAGAAGCACCGGCUAACUCCGUGCCAGCAGCCGCGGUAAUUC
rnacentral:rRNA from 1 species